AAAGUAAGGUUAGAUAAAGGAAUUCGGCAAAUAUAUUUUUCACCUGUUUAUUAAAAACAUCUCUUUUUGAUAAUAAUUUAAAGUAGGGCCUGCCCACUGAGUAUUUGAAGGGCCGCAGUAUUUUGACUGUGCAAAGGUAGCAUAAUCAUUAGUUUUUUAAUUGAAAGCUUGUAUGAAUGGUUUGAUGAGAAAAUAGCUUUCUAUAUCUAAAUUUUAAAUAAUUUUAUUUUUAAGUUAAAAAGCUUAAAUUUUUUUAAUAGACGAGAAGACCCUAUAGAGUUUUAUUUUUGAUAAAGUUUAAAUUUUUGGAAUUAAUAUAUUUUAAUUUUUAAGAAAAUUUGAUUGGGGUGAUUAAAAAAUUAAAUUAACUUUUUUUACAUAAUUACAUAGAUUUAUGAAUUUUUGAUCCUUUUAAAAGAUUAAAAGAUUAAAUUACCUUAGGGAUAACAGCGUUAUUUUUUUUUAGAGUUCUAAUCGAAAAAAGAGAUUGCGACCUCGAUGUUGGAUUAAAGUUAAUUUUAGGUGCAGAAGCUUAAAUAUUUGGUCUGUUCGACCAUUGAAACUUUACAUGAUCUGAGUUUAAACCGGUGUGAGCCAGGUUGGUUUCUAUCUUUAAAUAGUUUAUAAAUUUUAGUACGAAAGGACCAUAUUUA
rnacentral:rRNA from 1 species